UACGUAGGGUGCAAGCGUUGUUCGGAAUCAUUGGGCGUAAAGCGCGUGUAGGCGGUUAGUUAAGUCGGGUGUGAAAUCCCUGGGCUCAACCGAGGAAGUGCAUCCGAAACUAACUAGCUGGAGAGUGGUAGAGGGAGGUGGAAUUCCUAGUGUAGAGGUGAAAUUCGUAGAUAUUAGGAGGAAUACCGGUGGCGAAGGCGGCCUCCUGGACCAUUUCUGACGCUGAGACGCGAAAGCGUGGGGAGCAAACAGG
rnacentral:rRNA from 1 species